CCUUCCCCUAGGGGUGUUGCAGGUGUGGCUGCUGUGUCACACAUACAUCAGUAGGUGGCAGAGAGGAGAGAGGCUAUGUUUGUGCUCAGUGUUCAGACCUGUGAACAUCUGAAUGAUUACUAGUAGUCUAACAUU